UUUUUUUUUUUUUCUUUUUAGCCAAAGGAGCCUGUGCUUUUCCCUUGUCUUGAACAAUAGAUCUUUCAAAGACAAGAAUCCAAUGACCUUCUUCAAGGCAAAACUUCCCUUCUUCCCCGUCUUCUCUAUGGCACUGUGGUCCUUGCUGGCUCUGCUUACUUUCUUCCAUACUUUGUAUUCAUGUAAUCCUCAUUACGAUAUUAAGUCAGAUUUAUUUUGUUUUCCACAUCUGUUGUUUUCAGCCCUAUUGAUGGCAUUACAUGGCAAGAUGAGCUUGGGAAAGAAAAUAACCAAAGCGUGUGGGGUUUCAGGAGUAAAUAUGGAGCUCUCUGCCUUUGAUCCAGAAAGUCCUGUUUCUCCUACAAAGCUUCCUCUAUGCAUCUUGGAAAACUCUAGAUGCUAAAGACUUGGGAAGAGAAAAGGAGAAAGAACAGAUAAUAAAAAUCCUGGAAUUAAAAACAAGGACUCUUUACACAGCUCUUCAAUAUUAAUCUAAAAAUUAAAGAAAAAAGUUCAAGCGAAUUUGUGAAAAUAGCGUAAGAAAAUACAUUCAUAAAAGAAAUUGACAUACGUAACUUAAGACACAAAAUUACUGCUCAGAUUAUUGUCUGAUAGGAAAAAGAAGAAUUCUAUCAACACGAGCAUAUUAAUGUUUCUAUAAAAUUUGAAAUUUCCUGAAAUUCUCUACUAGUAUUGCAAUAUCAGAACUUGAAGAAUUUAAUUUUCUAUGAUGGUUCAUCUCCACUGACUUAGUUAUUGACUAAAGAAAGAAAUCAUUGGUAGCAAUGUGGACCUGGUUCAUUGUCUGGCUGAUUCAUAGCUCUUGACUGGCUUAACCAUAACAACUUAAAAUCUAACCGAUAUGUUUUCCUAGAAGAGCUAAUGAAAAUUCUCUGGGCAUUGAAAUCUAUCCCUAAAUGUGACUUUAAUUUUGCCUCACUAUUAUUUAAUCCCUGCUUUUCUCCAGGUAAAAAAACCAUCAAAUUGUAUGUCAGGUUUUCCCCACUUAUUUGGGUCCCCAAGAAAUUAUAGUGAAUUAUUUAAACAUUUUAAUUACAUUCUUGUUAGGCAGGAGGAGUACCAUUCCCUCUCUACAGCUCCUCUCAAAAAAAUCCGUAAGUGGAUUUAUGGGUGUGAAUGGGGAAGAAGUUGUGCAUAGUGUUUAGAAAUGUUAAAUCUGAGCUAAGAGAAAAUGAGUCCUUCUGCCAGCAGUGAAAAACCAGGGAAUCCUUUCAUUGUCACGAGCCAGUAGCCACCAGAUGCUUAGAAUUCCAUGUAUUUUAAGGACAAACCAUUCAGUGACUCCUUUGACACUCCAAGUAUGCCAAUAAUUCAAUGUAUUAGUCGGAUGCAAAUUUUAUACAAUAAGGUAUGGAAAGCAAACUGUAAUUGGGGGUGCCUGAGUGAAUGGAGCUCUAUCCUUUGACAGGGCCCAUUGUUGAACUCCAGCCUAGACCUCCGACCCGUUACUUUGCAAGGAUACAAUAGCCUUUGAUAUGAGAUGGUGGGAAACGGACUUAGAGACUCAUUUCACAUUCACUUGCAAUUCAUCAGUUUGGCGAGGACUUUUAGCAGCUUUAAUGACCACAGCAAUUGAUGGUUAAAUCAAUUUGUGCCGGUGACAGCAUGGCGGGCCUGUAGACUGUAACAAUCCAGGAUUGCACCAGGCAGAAAAGACUCUGUUAUUCAGAUGUGCAUGGCUCCUGCUCAGUUCACAGGGAGAACAACAGGGAGACAGUCUGUCACCGGGCAGGUCCCCCAAGAAUACACACAUUCACUCCAGUUGACCACACAAUGCCUAGGCUUCUUUGUAAAGUGGUGCCAUAGAUUUUUUUUUUUUUUUAAGUAUUGUUGCAAGUAAAAAUAUACAGUAGAAGAAAACGAUUUCUAAUAUUUAACUCUAUCCUAAGAGAAAGUAGGAAACCAGAAAGAAUUUAACCUUUGUUCCCUUGAUCAAAAUGGGUGGUCCUACCCCCUGUAACCAGGAGACACACUUCCCCCCCAAAAAAAAAAUAUAGAAAGAGAGGAAUAGAAAAUCAACAGCAGAGAUUAGGACAGAGGAGGUUUAUGUUUAGAGGGAAAAAGGUGAAAGGAAUUUUAAAAAACAACAUUGCAUUGUGUCAUAAAGAAGGAAAUACUGCUCCCUCUUCUGUUUAUAAGAGGGAUUUUUUUCCAAAUCCUUAGAUCCAUCUUUUUAAAUUUUUAAAUGUAAAUGUUUAUAAUGAAAAAAAUGACAGUGUCAGCAUGGUGGGACAGCUUAUGUGAUUUAUUUAUAGUAAAAAAUGUUAAAUAAAUAAAUACUUUGCUGAGCCUAUGUUUUAAUGUUUGAAAACUGUAUAACCAAAAUUGACAUUUUAAAGGUGGAGGAAGGGACAAAAAGUCAUUUCACAUCAACAAAACUUUUUGUGUCAGCAUAAAUGAAUGUUAGAAUGACUAAUAAAAUUAUACACAAUCCAAGUCUGCAUAAAAUGUACUAAGUAAUGCAUCUAACUCUAAGUUCAAAUAAGGGGGAAAGCCAAUAUAUUAUUUAAAUGUCUGAAUUAUAAUGGAUGAAAUAACCUAAGGUCCAUAGACGUACCUUAAGGGACCUCUAAGAUAAGAGAGAUAAUUUAAAUUACUGAUUAGGAUUUUUUGAAAAAGGCAUUAAUGCUACAAUUUUCACAGAACAGAAAUGAUCUCCCAAAGUAUAGAAACAAUAUACUUGUAGCAUUAAAUUCAGGAUUUAAUUAAACCAACUAUAAAGAUGGAAUGUCUAUAUCCUGAGUUAGCUUUUAUGCCUUAUUAAAAAUCCGACCAAAUGAUACAAUUAUUUUAAACUAUGGUGGAAAAGGGGGAAAAUAAUCUUUUGCGGGACACCAGUAGAUCGAUGAGAAAUGUAGUGCACAAAACACGCAGCUAUAGUACUGCAGAAAAAAAAUGUAAACAACAUUUUCCACCAGAUUUGUCUAAACAUUGAAAGAAUAUUGAGGUUGUGCAGAGGAGGUCUUGGCACUGAGUCCAGAAGCUGUACUUGGUAACUGGGGAGAGGGAAGAGGAGGUGAGUUUCCAUGGCAACACGGGUGCCCAAAGCAAAUGGAACUAGCGAGCAUCUUCCCAAGGGAGGCAGGGAGCAUGGAAAGUGGAAACAGAGGGGGAAGGGCAGUGGCAGCUUCUGAAAAGCUGGUUUAUGCUGAAUAAGUGUUUUGUGCAAAGCUGUGACGUGAUCCAUAUCAGAGUGUGUAUUCUGAGAGAGCUGACAUCCCCUUGUAACAUACUGCUUCAGGGAUUAAAGACCGCUUUUGCCUGGGAAUACAUAUUUGUCUUGCAAUUUCCCUUUUGGAUGUAUAAAGAUACUGAAGUCAUCUUGAUGCUCACACUGUCUCCUACCUUCACAAUAAAAUAAUAGGAGGUGACUAGAAUUUAAAUUUAUCUGUCUUUUUCUCUGUCAUUGUACCUGGGAGUCAAGUUUCUAGGGGAAAUAAAAAACCUUUGAUUUCCUUUUCUUAGCAGUCAAAGCAGAUUAGAAGUGGUUUCUCAUCCUUCUGAUUAUGAAACUGUGAUUCUCUCCUGACAACAGUGUUUCCUGUGUCACAAGGCAGUAUAAUAUUCCUAAGGAAUGAGACUAUAUAAAAGUUCACCUUAUUAAUCUGAUGAAAAUGAUCAAGAUUAAUCUUAUCUCAUUAUAAAAGGCUCAAUGUAAAGACUAAAACAGUAAUGGCACCAAGAAUAGGUGACAGAUGGAGAGCUAACUCUCUUCAACGCUCUGGAAAUAAACACGUUCCACAGAAGAAAGCCCUUUCAUUAGAGGUCAGAUUAUAUUGCAAAUUAGUACCAAGUAGAAGGGCCUGAUAAAAUAUGGACUUGGUUGCACAAGAGUUAAACUUACACCAUCACCUGAUGGUUUUAAUAAUAAAAAUCUGGAUCAGACUCUACACUGGUGUAUAAACUCUGUGAGGGCCAUGGCUAUGUCUACCUUUUUCACAUAAUAUUCCCAGCACCCCACAGAACCUGCACUUAGCAGAUACUCAAUACAUAUUUGUUUACUAUUGAAAAAGCAAGAUGAACCAUUUUUCAAAAUUGUGAGAUAGGACUUUAAAUGCACAGGAAAGAAAUGAACUUUUACUCACCAUCUUCAACAUCAUUAUUAAGGCCGCGUGCUCAUGUUCUCUUAUUUAAUACUCAACAAUACCUGGAAAGGUAAUUAUUAUCCCUAUUUUACAAAUGAGAAAAGAGAAUCCCAGGAGGGCUGUGACUUUCCCAAACUUACACCUCUGAAGAGGCUGAGACUCAAAUCCAGUCCUAUUCAAAUACCGUCCUUGUGAUGGUCCAGCUUUUCCACACUCCAUACUAUAGAUCAGAAUGCACAGACUCACUCCCACUUUGGUUUGAUCUGAAGAAUGAAAAUGCAAAGGAUUUUCUCAUUAUACUCAUACACCCCUUGGGACCCUCUGAAAGCUCAGGGAAUGAGGCACUGGCUCUACCAUCAACCCUGCCCCUUGGAAGGCAGUGGAGGGCAGGACCUGAAAUCCAAAGUUUCAUUAACCAAGUAUAAUUCUGAGACCUCCUGUACUGACCCAGCUUUUUCCAGAUCCAUCAAAACCCCUUCUCUUCUUUUAUCCUCCCUUUACUAAUUCCAUUUUUAAAAAUCAGUUCCAGUGAUUCCAACAGAACCUCCAUUCACUACCAAUAUGUUUUUCUAUGAACAUAGUCUCGUCAUAGAAUAAUCCCUCCACUGCACUUUCAUGGUUUUCUCUUUCAUAUGAAAAAGUUGUUCAUUUUUCUUCCCCCUAUAUUUCAAGAGCCAUAACACUCCUGAAUUCCCCCCAACAUUUUCAGACCAUCCUUCUUUCACCUUUGUUCAAAAAGAUAGGAUGCAGGAGUUCCCAUCAUGGCUCAUUGGGUUGAGAACCCAACAUUGUCUCCAUGAGGAUGCAGGUUUGAUCCCUUGCUCAGUGG
rnacentral:lncRNA from 1 species